CCCUUAGAUGUUCUGGGCCGCACGCGCGCUACACUGAUGCAUUCAACGAGCCUAUCCUUGACCGACAGGUCCGGGUAAUCUUUGAAUCUGCAUCGUGACGGGGAUAGAUUAUUGCAAUUAUUAAUCUUCAACGAGGAAUUCCUAGUAAGCGCGAGUCAUCAGCUCGCGCUGAUUACGUCCCUGCCCUUUGUACACACCGCCCGUCGCUACUACCGAUUGGAUGGUUUAGCGAGAACUUUGGACCGGAGCUCGGGUGGUCAGCAAUGGCCGCCCGAGACAUACUGGGAAAUCGCUCCAGCUUGAUCAUCUAGAGGAAGUAAAAGUCGUAACA
rnacentral:rRNA from 1 species